UGACGAUGGAAAAGUCACAUGUUCUCAACGCGUAUAUCCCAAGAACCCAUGCACAUACAAAGAAAAAACCUAUCAUGACGGUCAAACUUUCAUAGACGUUUAUAGCGAGUGCAAAUGUGACGAUGGAAAAGUCACAUGUUCUCAACGCGUAUAUCCCAAGACCCCUUGCACAUACAAAAAAACAACCUACCAGGACGGGCAAACUUUCAAAGACGAUUGUAACGACU